GAGUGCGGCGCGGGCCUGGGCCGGGGCGGUUGCCGUUGGGGCCGAGCCGCGCAGAGGUUCUAGGCGGGACAUGUUCCCGAUUUGAGGUGAAACCAUGAAGAGAAAAUAGAAUACUUAAUAAUGCUUUUCCGCAACCGCUUCUUGCUGCUGCUGGCCCUGGCUGCGCUGCUGGCCUUUGUGAGCCUCAGCCUGCAGUUCUAAUUGGAAAAGAGGUCAAAAGAAGGUGGGCAUCAGAAGUUUAAAAAUAUUCCAGAUGGCAAAUGAAUUGUAAAAUAUGAAUCCUUUCCAAAAAGUGUGGUAAGAUUUUCAGUAGUUUGUUUAUAAAUUUUCAUUAAAAAUUUUCCAUCCUUUGGUUGGAGAGGUAGGAUGUUACAAUCAACCCUGAUUUUAUUUUGAGAGGCUGACAGGUUCUGAGACAUGAAUGUGUGUUACUUGUGUUUGUGGCAUUUCUCUUGCAUGAGCUGGUUUCCACGUCACUGAAUUGGCCUGUGUGUUUUGCUUAUAUAACUCUUCUGAAAGUACCUUCUGUUUUAGGAAAGCCAAUUUUCAGCCAUAGUUUUUUAAGGAAAAUUUUGCAG
rnacentral:sRNA from 1 species